rnacentral:rRNA from 1 species
AGUCGAACGAUGAACCACUUCGGUGGGGAUUAGUGGCGAACGGGUGAGUAACACGUGGGCAAUCUGCCCUUCACUCUGGGACAAGCCCUGGAAACGGGGUCUAAUACCGGAUAGCACUUCCACUCGCAUGGGUGGAGGUUGAAAGCUCCGGCGGUGAAGGAUGAGCCCGCGGCCUAUCAGCUUGUUGGUGAGGUAAUGGCUCACCAAGGCGACGACGGGUAGCCGGCCUGAGAGGGCGACCGGCCACACUGGGACUGAGACACGGCCCAGACUCCUACGGGAGGCAGCAGUGGGGAAUAUUGCACAAUGGGCGAAAGCCUGAUGCAGCGACGCCGCGUGAGGGAUGACGGCCUUCGGGUUGUAAACCUCUUUCAGCAGGGAAGAAGCGAAAGUGACGGUACCUGCAGAAGAAGCGCCGGCUAACUACGUGCCAGCAGCCGCGGUAAUACGUAGGGCGCAAGCGUUGUCCGGAAUUAUUGGGCGUAAAGAGCUCGUAGGCGGUCUGUCACGUCGGAUGUGAAAGCCCGGGGCUUAACCCCGGGUCUGCAUUCCAUACGGGCAGACUAUAGUGUGGUAGGGGAGAUCGGAAUUCCUGGUGUAGCGGUGAAAUGCGCAGAUAUCAGGAGGGAACACCGGGUGGCGAAGGCGGAUCUCUGGGCCAUUACUGACGCUGAGGAGCGAAAGCGUGGGGAGCGAACAGGAUUAGAUACCCUGGUAGUCCACGCCGUAAACGGUGGGAACUAGGUGUUGGCGACAUUCCACGUCGUCGGUGCCGCAGCUAACGCAUUAAGUUCCCCGCCUGGGGAGUACGGCCGCAAGGCUAAAACUCAAAGGAAUUGACGGGGGCCCGCACAAGCAGCGGAGCAUGUGGCUUAAUUCGACGCAACGCGAAGAACCUUACCAAGGCUUGACAUACACCGGAAAGCAUUAGAGAUAGUGCCCCCCUUGUGGUCGGUGUACAGGUGGUGCAUGGCUGUCGUCAGCUCGUGUCGUGAGAUGUUGGGUUAAGUCCCGCAACGAGCGCAACCCUUGUUCUGUGUUGCCAGCAUGCCCUUCGGGGUGAUGGGGACUCACAGGAGACUGCCGGGGUCAACUCGGAGGAAGGUGGGGACGACGUCAAGUCAUCAUGCCCCUUAUGUCUUGGGCUGCACACGUGCUACAAUGGCCGGUACAAAGAGCUGCGAAACCGUGAGGUGGAGCGAAUCUCAAAAAGCCGGUCUCAGUUCGGAUUGGGGUCUGCAACUCGACCCCAUGAAGUCGGAGUUGCUAGUAAUCGCAGAUCAGCAUUGCUGCGGUGAAUACGUUCCCGGGCCUUGUACACACCGCCCGUCACGUCACGAAAGUCGGUAACACCCGAAGCCGGUGGCCCAACCCCUUGUGGGAGGGAGCUGUCGA